GCCCUACUUUAUAACAUUUUGAAAGAAAAAGCUAACAUUUGAACUUAAACUGUAUAUGUUUAUAAACUUUUUGGGAAAGGUUUUACACAAAAGCCGCACACCAAAUUUCAAAAGCAGCAUAUGAACCCCACCCCUCUCCGUGUUGAAAUCAAUGAUUGGUAAGAUUCUGCCUCUCGUCGAUCUUCUUCCCAUAUAGGAGUGGUUAUACCAAGUGUCUAUCUUCUAUCUCCGCCCACCUUUUUGCACGCUCCCGUGUCUUGUUUUGGAGUUUUAUUUAUGGUCAGCGCACUCCCGAUGCCGGAGCUAUCGUUUGCUUCACACUGACAUCAUAGCGGAUUACAAUGUCAAAUAUUUUGGAAGCAGCACUAGCCUCUGGUUUUACACCCCGUGAGAGAGAUUCGUCGUUUAUAUUCCACUCAUUUGAAAUAUAAAGUUGCAAUAUUUUUCGCAUGAAACAUUUUUGGGGGAUGGAAUGAUGCAUUCAAGUUAAGGUCUAUGUAACAGAGAGUGGGUCAGGUCAGGGAUGCUGCAGCAUCGGAGGGAAUCUGACUCUCAUGGCCUGUUUUCAUCUGGAGAGACCUCCGACAAUGACUGUGAGGUAACAUAAUGUGUGUGUGUGUCUUUGUCUGUUUGAGCAGUAUAACCCACACUGACUCAACCCUAAUCAUGUGAGUGCAUGAGGGCACGAGAUAGGACAUUUACCAUCCUGUGUGUGGGUUAGUGUACGCAUGUGUCUCAGUGUGUGUGUGUGAGACAUUGGUAAUUAGGGCCCCACUGUUAGGUUUGUACUCUACACAGCAUGAAGUAUACUUUGUAACCUCUGCUGCUGUCCAAUUAGUGAUGGACGGAUGGCUCCAGAUAAAUCAUUACUACUUUCUGCUCUCUCGCUCUCUCUCUCUCUCUCUCUCUCUCUCUCUCUCAUUCUCUCUUUCUCUCUUUCUCUCAUUCUAUCUUUCUCUCAUUCUAUCUUUCUCUCAUUCGCUCUCUCUCAUUCGCUCUCUCUCUCUCUAUCUCUCUCUCACUCACUCACUCACUCACUCACUCACUCACUCACUCACUCACUCACUCACUCACUCACUCACUCACUCACUCACUCACUCACUCACUCACUCACUCACGCACGCACGCACGCACGCACGCACGCACGCACGCACUCACUCACUCACGCACUCACUCACUCACUCACUCACUCACUCACUCACUCACUCACUCACUCACUCACUCACUCACUCACUCACUCACUCACUCACUCACUCUCUCUCUCAUUCACUCCCUCUCUGUCUCUCUCUCUUUCUCUCUCUCUCUCUCUCUCUCUCUCCGUUCCUCAUUUAUCAUGCUUAUCUCUCCAUUUCUUGCUCUGUCACACACACUAUCUCUCUCUCAUGCUGUUUCUCUCUCUCUUACUGUUUCUCUCUCUCUAUAUCUCUCACUUACUGUUUCUCUCUGCAGAUGGGGGCAAGUUGUGGAGAAGUUGGCGUAGUGUGUUUGUGUGAGACUGGACCCUGCACACUAUACUCUGAAGCACAUACACAGACGCCGGACACACUGAAAUGUGAACACUGUGGGAAAAACAGGGUAGUGAUAACCAGGUACUCAGAGGGAUAUGGCACAGAGGAAGAGUGUGCCCUGUCUGAUCCUCAGGGUGACAGCGAUGCAGACGCUGACAUCGAGGACACAGAUUGCAGACUACAGGAGCCAGGUUCUCUCCAGCGAAUCAGUUCGCGGAGACGGAAGCGACCACGAAUAGCACGGCAGGACACCACGGAGAGUGAGGACGAUGGGGGGAGGAGUCACAGGAGUCACCGCUGGAGCCUCAGACUCAGUCCCCACCGGGCUCACAACAGAACCUUACUAGAGGUACCUCAACCACACAGAACCACAUCACAAACCUAA
rnacentral:lncRNA from 8 species